rnacentral:rRNA from 1 species
AGUGAACGCUGGCGGUAGGCCUAACACAUGCAAGUCGAACGGCAGCACAGUAAGAGCUUGCUCUUACGGGUGGCGAGUGGCGGACGGGUGAGGAAUACAUCGGAAUCUACUUUUUCGUGGGGGAUAACGUAGGGAAACUUACCCUAAUACCGCAUACGACCUACGGGUGAAGGCAGGGGAUCUUCGGACCUUGCGCGAUUGAAUGAGCCGAUGUCGGAUUAGCUAGUUGGCGGGGUAAAGGCCCACCAAGGCGACGAUCCGUAGCUGGUCUGAGAGGAUGAUCAGCCACACUGGAACUGAGACACGGUCCAGACUCCUACGGGAGGCAGCAGUGGGGAAUAUUGGACAAUGGGCGCAAGCCUGAUCCAGCCAUACCGCGUGGGUGAAGAAGGCCUUCGGGUUGUAAAGCCCUUUUGUUGGGAAAGAAAAGCAGCAGGUUAAUACCCCGCUGUUCUGACGGUACCCAAAGAAUAAGCACCGGCUAACUUCGUG